rnacentral:RNase_P_RNA from 4 species
GCUCUAUACAACGUGAUCGCUCGACCUCUGGGUCGAGAGGAAAGUCCGAACUCCUUCCCGACAGUGUCGGGAAUCGUGAUAGUGGGUAACACCCACCUGCCGGUAUGUGAAUAUCUGGUACGGGCCAGUGCCACAGAGACAAUACUAUCCCGACAGUGUCGGGAGAAACGUGAAAAGUGAACGGAUGUUUUUAUUCUAUAGAUAAAAGCUACUGUUCUCGUCUCGAUAGCAAUGUCGAGAUGUGGUAAACCCUAUCUGGAGAAAGUGCAGUGUUCCUUUGCUAAAGCUUCGAAACAUAAACUUAAUUACAUAUACAUUGUAUAUGUAUGGCGCUUGUGAGCCGUAGCUUUAGCGGAGGUUCAAAAAGUUAGCACGUGAAGAUUUCAUUAGUAAUAAUGAAACAAGAGAAAUGAUCACUCCCGACAUCGUCGGGAUACAAAAUUCGGCUUAUUGUAUAGAGCAACA